rnacentral:rRNA from 1 species
UACGUAGGGUGCGAGCGUUGUCCGGAAUUACUGGGCGUAAAGAGCUCGUAGGUGGUUUGUCGCGUCGUCUGUGAAUCCGGGGCUUAACUUCGGGCGUGCAGGCGAUACGGGCAUAACUUGAGUGCUGUAGGGGAGACUGGAAUUCCUGGUGUAGCGGUGGAAUGCGCAGAUAUCAGGAGGAACACCGAUGGCGAAGGCAGGUCUCUGGGCAGUAACUGACGCUGAGGAGCGGAAAGCAUGGGGGCGAACAGGAUUAGAUACCCGCGUAGUCC